rnacentral:rRNA from 1 species
UACGGAGGGAGCUAGCGUUGUUCGGAAUUACUGGGCGUAAAGCGCACGUAGGCGGCUUUGUAAGUUAGAGGUGAAAGCCCGGGGCUCAACUCCGGAACUGCCUUUAAGACUGCAUCGCUUGAAUCCAGGAGAGGUGAGUGGAAUUCCGAGUGUAGAGGUGAAAUUCGUAGAUAUUCGGAAGAACACCAGUGGCGAAGGCGGCUCACUGGACUGGUAUUGACGCUGAGGUGGACGAAAGCGGUGGGGAGCAAACAGG